AAAUGCUUCGGCUGCGCUGCACACAGUCGAAAAAAAAUUUGGAGAAGAAAAUUUCAAAGAGCUCUGGUGUGCGUCGGAUGUCAGUUUGUCGUCACUGUAAAGUCGCAAACAUGUUAUAGAUUGUAAUGAAGAAGAGAGAAAGAGGAUGGGAGAGUGUGAGAAGACGAUGAGCAAACGGCCUUCGAUCGAAAAUGGUGUGAGUCAUGGCGCUGAAACAAAACCCAUGAAGAAAUCAAUCUGUGCGAACGCCACCAGAAAGAGGCUUGGUUCAGGAUCACACUCGUUUCCUGCUCCUCGAACGUUAAUGGCAACGCUGAGGAGGAACGGAAUACUAACCAAGCAACACGACGAAAUCCGUACGCAAGCGGAUGCGGAAUUGGAUCCGCUGUAAACAUGUACAAAGCCACGGCGGUCGCUCGCCAGAAGCAUUCGUUCAUUUACCGAGUUACUGAGUGAGUCUUCACGUCUGUCCGAGUAACCCCUACCUCCACCGCCCGGCAGUGAGUUCCGCAAUACAGCCGAUGGCCGAUUCAGUACAAAUCGCCGGAGAUGAGCACGGAGCAGCAGCAGCAAACACCACCGAGUCUCCUCUGCAUGACAUGACCACAACUGACAUGGGGACAUAUAUCACAAGGGGACAAGGCGGAAUGCGCGCAGCAGCAGCUCCAGCUCUCAUCAGCUUACCUGCGUUUGAAGCUCUCGUGCCCUCAUCGAGGCUGUGCCACCACUACCACCAACUACCACCACCUAUUCUGCAUAGCCCGCUUCGCAGCUGCUGACCACCACCCACCCAUCCACACAGUUACACGGUAUUUGGUAUAUCAGCUGCGAACAAAUAUUGCUUUUUUGAACAGAUUUACAGCGAAAAGAACAAGUCAAAAGCAUAACCAAGACAAAGGAAUAUCUAUCAUAUCAUCGGCAAAUCGUUCUACAACUCAACGGUUCGGAAUUUGAGGAGCCACUGUUGCAAAAUUCGUUUCACUUCGCAUGUAAGCAGCUUGGGAUAAUUAUUUUGAUUAAUUCCUGAAUUGCAGACGUCAGUAAUUCUGACAUCAACUGGGUUUUAUGAUUGCUUCACUGUACAGUGUACACACAUUGUUGGAUCUUCUGUUUUAUUUGAUUGGACCCUAGGCACACGUCUUCACUUUCAGACUCCUAAACUUUGGGCCUUUCAAAGCCAAUUUCAUCUUUAUUGUAGCGCCACUUCACAGUUGAGCUGUUCCUGUGGGUGCAAGGGCUGAUGUUGGAUGUCACUGAAGAAACACGCAAUAGUUGGUAGUAUAGGAACAACCGUCACGUUUUCCCUUAUUUUUUUUAGCGAUGCGACGCAGUUGAGCUGUGCCUGCGUUCAUCUGUAUGAGCGUGUGGGAUGAAGAUACCUUAAAGUCUGCCCAAGCGACACACUGGGCAACCACGUCUGCUCGAUGGGAUGGUAGCCGAAGCGUAAAUCGUUUUUAUACUUAACCAGACCAAAUGUUCGUUUUAAAUAUUUUUAGCAGAGUAAUCUUGUAGAAAAGAAUUGGAAUGCAAGGCGAAUAUUGAAACUGGCAUAAGAGGAAGACCGCCAAACAAAGUUAGUAGACUAGGACAAGCUUCAAUAUUUCCUUUAUUUUUUUUUAGCGAUGCGACGCAGUUGAGCGGUGCCUGCGUGCAUCGGCCCGAAUGAGUGGCAGAAGGAUGUAUCUCUGGUCUUAGUCGACUUGUUGAUAUCGAAAGUCCAAAGAACACGUCAAGGGGAUCAAUUUCCAUAAGAGUAACCUAGUUUUUUUUGAUACCUUAUCCGAAAAAAUUGCUCGUCCUUUUAAAUAUUCAUUUUAGCACAAAGAUGUGUACCCGGCUUCCGUAUAGGCUAGCGACAACAAAA